AAAUUGAAGAGUUUGAUCAUGGCUCAGAUUGAACGCUGGCGGCAGGCCUAACACAUGCAAGUCGAACGGUAACAGGAAGCAGCUUGCUGCUUCGCUGACGAGUGGCGGACGGGUGAGUAAUGUCUGGGAAACUGCCUGAUGGAGGGGGAUAACUACUGGAAACGGUGGCUAAUACCGCAUAACGUCGCAAGACCAAAGAGGGGGACCUUCGGGCCUCUUGCCAUCAGAUGUGCCCAGAUGGGAUUAGCUUGUUGGUGAGGUAACGGCUCACCAAGGCGACGAUCCCUAGCUGGUCUGAGAGGAUGACCAGCCACACUGGAACUGAGACACGGUCCAGACUCCUACGGGA
rnacentral:rRNA from 4 species